GAGGAGGAGAUGCCGCCGCCGCCGCCGCCGCCGCCGCCGCUACUCCUGCAGCUGCCGCCUCCUCCUGCCGCCUCCGCCCGCCGCCGGCUCCGGGCGGUGCGAGGCUCCGGGCCACAGCUCAGCUGCCCCCCGCCCGCCGGCCCGCCGCACGCGGCCUGGGGCCUGCUUCCCUGAGCGCUCGCCGCCGCCGCCGCCGCGACUUGAGCUUUUUUUUUUUUUUUUUUUUUCAACAGGGCCCUGCCCGGAUGGCGGCCGCCCUGUUGCCCAGAUCGCCAGCUCCCGCGCCCGCCGCCCGGCCUAGCCCGGUCCGGCGGCGGCGGAUUGUGGCUGCAGCUGCCGCCGCUUUCUAUCACCCCCCCCCCUUCUCUUUUUCCUUUUUUUUUUUUUUUUCCUCCUUUACUGGAGCUGCGCGCGCGCGGUGGCGGCGACGGCGCGAUCCCGGGGCGGGCGGGCGCGCGCGCGCGCGCGGGAGAGGGCAGGCCCUAGGGAACGCGCGCGCUGUCUGUCUUUGGUGACGGCCGGGCGCGUACACACACAUAGGCCCGGGGACUCUACACGGGACCACCACCGGUUGGAACGCAGGCCCGGCUGGAAGGCCGGCAACACGGAUGCGGGGCUCAGAUCGCCGGGGCACAGGGUUUGAAGACUGUAAAAGUAGGUCGUAUAGGAGCCCGGAGGUUGGGGAGCCGGGUUGCGCGCUCGCGCGCUCCCGAAGGCGCAUGCGCACGUCGGGGCGGGGCAGGGCGGAGGCGGCAAGGGGCACGUACUCUAGGCGGCUGGCUAUGAAGAAGGCUAAAGGCCUGUCUGGCCGCUUCUUUUGCUGGUCCCCCUCCUCUCAACUCGUGCAGCAAAACAAGAGGCUUAGAUCUUGUGAUCAGGAAUUUUAUUAGGCUUGGUGAAGAGUUUCAUCAAUAUUCCAAUUAAAAAAGUAUAAAAGCUACAUAAC
rnacentral:lncRNA from 1 species